UCCUGUGUUAUGUCUCUGUAGAAUUUUCUCUGAUUCCUGUCUUGAGCAAGGCAGAUGUGUUCCUUGUUGAGGGCUUCUUCAAGCUAUCCCAUACAAAUGUAGCUACUGUAAUUGUACCUCAGUGAGACAGAAAAGAAGUCAGUAAUGUUGUUAAGAACAGAAGAUUACAGCCUAGGUGUUUUUCAUAGGUCUCAAUCUGUGAAGUCUCUGUGGUAGUAGACCGACUAUAAUGAAGAUAGGUGAUGUGUAAGCACUGCUACCUUCCAGAGAUUGCAGGCAUCAUUGCAUUAAUAUUCCUAAAUGUAGUUUGCAUCCUCUCUUCAUGGAAGCUGAGAUUUGGUGAUAUAGAGAACAUUCAAGAUGACUGCCCAGUGAAAAAGUAGGAUGGGAAUGUCCCCAUGCACAAAGGCGAGGUUUGCAAGGAAGCAUGGUUGCUAAAAACAAUGUGUAUGUCUGUACAGCAUUCUCUCAUUACCAGGAACAAAAUGAUUUUGGGCAUGUGGAAAAGAUCAUACUCUAAUUUGCUGUGUGGAAGGAUUUUGAAUUUCUGUGAACUACAUGAGUAAGCUGUCUAGUACUGCAGAGUAGGAUUAAGGCAAAAGUCAAGAGGAAUCUUUACAUACUCCUGAACAGCUGACAUUUCCUUCAUUCAGCGUCAACCAAGUUAGGUCAAGCCUUGUUUCCUUUUUGUAUUAUGCUGUGGGGCUUCCUUGUUUGGGUUACGAAACAUGGAGAUUCUCAGUGCUAUGUGCACUUUUCUCUAUACCUUCCACAUAGAAAUACCUAUUUUUAGGCUCAAGUGUGUGCACGAAGACCUUAAUUAAGAAAAUAUGUUUUUCUGAACUACCCUGCUUGUAAUGUCCAGGUGUUUCUAACUCUGGUGUUUCCCCAAGCCCACUUUCUUCUCAGUGUCUUGCAUUACCAGUAGCUACCUGCUGACAAGUUUUUCAUCUUAGUUUUCUACUGUAAUAAUUGCACUGCCUCUCUUGGCUUAAGUAGUUUUAAGUAGUAGU